AGUGAACGCUGGCGGCGUGCCUAAUACAUGCAAGUCGAACGGAGUAUUAAGAGAGCUUGCUCUUUUAAUACUUAGUGGCGCACGGGUGAGUAAUGUAUAGUUAAUCUGCCCUACACUGGAGGACAACAGUUAGAAAUGACUGCUAAUACUCCAUACUCCUUCUUAACAUAAGUUAAGUCGGGAAAGUUUUUCGGUGUAGGAUGAGACUAUAUUGUAUCAGCUAGUUGGUGAGGUAAUGGCUCACCAAGGCUUUGACGCAUAACUGGUCUGAGAGGAUGAUCAGUCACACUGGAACUGAGACACGGUCCAG
rnacentral:rRNA from 1 species